rnacentral:rRNA from 1 species
ACGAACGCUGGCGGCGUGCUUAACACAUGCAAGUCGCACGGAAAGGCCCUGCUUUUGUGGGGUGCUCGAGUGGCGAACGGGUGAGUAACACGUGAGUAACCUGCCCUUGACUUUGGGAUAACUUCAGGAAACUGGGGCUAAUACCAGAUAGGAGCUCCUGCUGCAUGGUGGGGGUUGGAAAGUUUCGGCGGUUGGGGAUGGACUCGCGGCUUAUCAGCUUGUUGGUGGGGUAGUGGCUUACCAAGGCUUUGACGGGUAGCCGGCCUGAGAGGGUGACCGGCCACAUUGGGACUGAGAUACGGCCCAGACUCCUACGGGAGGCAGCAGUGGGGAAUAUUGCACAAUGGGCGGAAGCCUGAUGCAGCAACGCCGCGUGCGGGAUGACGGCCUUCGGGUUGUAAACCGCUUUCGCCUGUGACGAAGCGUGAGUGACGGUAAUGGGUAAAGAAGCACCGGCUAACUACGUG